ACUCGGUCAAGGAUGGACUCGCGGCCUAUCAGGUAGUNGGUGAGGUAACGGCCCACCAAGCCUACGACGGGUAGCCGGCCUGAGAGGGUGACCGGCACACUGGGACUGAGACACGGCCCAGACUCCUACGGGAGGCAGCAGUGGGGAAUAUUGCACAAUGGGCGCAAGCCUGAUGCAGCAACGCCGCGUGAGGGAUGACGGCCUUUCGGGUUGUAAACCUCUUUUAGUAGGGAAGAAGCGAAAGUGACGGUACCUGCAGAAAAAGCACCGGCUAACUACGUGCCAGCAGCCGCGGUAAUACGUAGGGUGCGAGCGUUGUCCGGAAUUAUUGGGCGUAAAGAGCUCGUAGGCGGUCUGUCGCGUCUGCUGUGAAAACCCGAGGCUCAACCUCGGGCCUGCAGUGGGUACGGGCAGACUAGAGUGCGGUAGGGGAGAAUGGAAUUCCUGGUGUAGCGGUGGAAUGCGCAGAUAUCAGGAGGAACACCGAUGGCGAAGGCAGUUCUCUGGGCCGUAACUGACGCUGAGGAGCGAAAGCGUGGGGAGCGAACAGGAUUAGAUACCCUGGUAGUCCACGCCGUAAACGUUGGGCACUAGAUGUGGGGACCAUUCCACGGUUUCCGUGUCGCAGCUAACGCAUUAAGCGCCCCGCCUGGGGAGUACGGCCGCAAGGCUAAAACUCAAAGGAAUUGACGGGGGCCCGCACAAGCGGCGGAGCAUGCGGAUUAAUUCGAUGCAACGCGAAAAACCUUACCAAGGCUUGACAUAUACGAGAACGGGCCAAAAAUGGUCAACUCUUUGGACACUCGUAAACAGGUGGUGCAUGGUUGUCGUCAGCUCGUGUCGUGAGAUGUUGGGUUAAGUCCCGCAACGAGCGCAACCCUCGUUCUAUGUUGCCAGCACGUAAUGGUGGGAACUCAUAGGAGACUGCCGGGGUCAACUCGGAGGAAGGUGGGGAUGA
rnacentral:rRNA from 1 species